GCGAGAGGCCAGUGAAGGGGGAACCCAUCUUAGCAACAGCAGAAAAUAUCGCACAUGCCCUUGCACACAGGCACAAACACAGACACCGCGCCACCCGCCCUGCUGCAGUGAACGGUUGCUGAUUACGUCUCCUAAGGCUUUUGUUUUGCCACAGCCCCACUUCCAAAGGACAAGUUUCUGUUCACAGAUCACACUGCUUACCUGGUCAGACAGCCCAUAAUCCCUUUUUAAUGGAAUGCAGGGGCAACGGUCCUCUCUCUGCCCUCUCCAACACACAUGUUAUUAACGGCAAACUUUGAUCUGCAGUAAUGGAAGGUUGGUGAGAGUGUUUGCAACACGGAAAUCUGCAAAUGCUACAAAUCAGGACUUUUUCUUCCCUGGAGAGCGGCAUGGUGAACGUUGACCAUCACACCACUGAAAGAGAGUUAUCUGAACCAGAAUGAGGAGCUAACUUAGCAAAGACCAGCAGCAAAGUUCACCUAACAUUUGGCAGUCUAUUUACUCCUAGAAGUCUCCUGAUUCCCCUGGUUCCAGUGGUAGCUGGAGAUUCAGUGGUUCUGUAUUGUGAGCUUACAAACUUCAGGUCAGCAUCCUCAGUCAAGAUGCAUUAGAAUCACCUGGAAUGCUUAUGAAAAUGAAGAUUCCUAGGCCAAAGUCCAGACCUGUGAAUCAUGCCUAUAGGACCUGAAAGUUUGCAUCUCAUGAUGAGCCUGAGAUCAUGGUAAUCCACCCCAGAUAACUUCUCUAGAUCCUACGCCUUAACAUCACUCAUAUCCUACGCCUCCUUGUUACUUCUACUGCUGCUGCCUUAGUUCAGACUUGAGCCUGGCUGCUGUAACAGUCUCCUAAUUGGUCUCUGAGUUGUCCUCUUUACUGCAUUCAAAAUAAACUGAGCAAAAUUCCAAUCUUAUGUCAGAUCUAGCAUAAAAUAGCUCCCUAUUUUCUAUAAAAUAGCUUAUUCUCUUUGCUAAGACAAAUAAGGCCCUCACCAGCCUUUCUCUUCUGCCUCAUCCACUCGGUUUGUCCCUUGGGCACUCCAGACAUGCUGCAGGAUUUUGCACUUCUCUAGACACUCUCUGCUGUUUCACAGCUCCAGGCCUCUGCUCUUGCUAGAGCAUCUAACUAGAAUGACCACCCCUCACCCCAUGGCUGACUCUCUGGCAAACAUCUACUUGUCUUUAAUGUAGCAAUUCAAUAAUUACCUCUUGCAUGAUCUUAAGUCAAAAUUAUAUUUUUAUAUAUAUUAUAUUAUAUUAUAUAUUUCCUAAUCUAUUCCUUUUUGUGUGUCUGGUUUUGUUCCCCAAUUUGUAUUUAUUUUCAUGAUAGAACUUACAAUAUUUUACUGCAGUAUUCGUUGAC
rnacentral:lncRNA from 1 species